AUUAAAAAAAUUAUUUUAAUUAUUUGAAUAAAGUAUUUUUAUUUUUAUUAUUGUAAAAGAAAAAAAAUUAAUUUAUUAUAGAUUAUUAGUAUAGUGGUAUAAAUUUUAAAUAUUUAAAAAUUUAAAUUUUUAAAAGAAGAAUUAAUUUUUGUACCUUGGGUAUCAGGGUUUAUUAAAUAAAUUUCAUAUAUCUGAUUUUCUCGAUUUUAAAAGAGUUAAAAAAUUAUUUAUUUUAUUGUUAAAUAAAUAUUUAAAAUAAUUUUUUUGUAAUGAAACGUUAGUCGUUUUUAAAUAUAUCUAGUUUUUGAAGAAAAAGAUUUAAUUUUAUAUUUUAAAUAUAAUUUAUUAAUUAUUUAGUAAUUUUUUUUAAAAUUUAAAUAUUUUAAGGGAUAAGCUUUAAAAUAAAAUUUUUAUAACUUAUUUUUUAUAGAGAAAAUUGUAGGAUUAGAAAUUUUCAUCAAUUUAGUUUGUUAUAAUUAAUUUUUCUUUAUAUUUAAUUUUUAUUAAGUUUAUUUUUUUUAUUCAAAUUAAUUAUUUAAUUAUUAAUUAAUUGUAAUAAUGAUAAAAUUAGUAUAAUUUAAUUUAAUAUUAUUUAUUAAAUUUAAGGUAAAUUAAAGGAAUUCGGCAAAAUAUUUCUCGCCUGUUUAUUAAAAACAUGUCUUUUUGAUUUUAAUUUAAAGUUUAACCUGCCCAUUGAAUUUUAAAAGGCCGCGGUAUUUUGACCGUGCGAAGGUAGCAUAAUAAUUAGCUUUUUAAUUGAGAGCUAGAAUGAAUGGUUGAACGAGGAAAUAACUGUCUCUAAUUUAAUAAAUUAGAAUUUUAUUUUUAAGUUAAAAAGCUUAAAUAAAUUUGAAAGACGAGAAGACCCUAUAGAGUUUAAUAAAUUAUUAUUUUUAAGAUUAUUAGUAUUUUAUAUUUUAGUUAUUUUGAUUUAUUUUGUUGGGGUGAUUAAAAAAUUUAAUAAACUUUUUUUUUAUAAAAACAUUAAUAAAUGAAUUUUUGAUCCAUUUUUUAUGAUUAUAAGAUUAAAUUACCUUAGGGAUAACAGCGUAAUUUCUUUAAAGAGUUCAAAUCGAAAAAGAAGUUUGCGACCUCGAUGUUGGAUUAAAGUUAAUUUUUGGUGUAGAAGCUAAAAAUUUUAGGUCUGUUCGACCUUUAAAAUUUUACAUGAUCUGAGUUUAGACCGGUGUGAGCCAGGUUGGUUUCUAUCUUUAAAUAUAAAUAAUACUUUAGUACGAAAGGACCAAGUAUUAAUAUUAUAUGUUUUUUAAGAAUUAUUUUAAUU
rnacentral:rRNA from 1 species